rnacentral:lncRNA from 1 species
GCUUACAGGGGAAUAUAUGACGUAACACCCUCCAACUGGUACCUAGGCCUUCAUUUGCUGCAUGCUGCUGAUAAUUUCUUGAAUCCUACCAGGAUCAACAUGAUGGCCGCCAUGGCCAUGCGACGUUCUAGAACGGCCCCAGCUCGAACCUAGGCAUCAUGAUGAAAAAUUUUAGAUUUUCAGUUUAUGGUAAGGAGCUGUAUGGCCUCUGGGAUAUGGCCUCUGGGAUAUGGCUGGUAAGGUAAGGUAAGGUAAGUAGUACAGGUGAGUAGCAGCGGUGUACACUUUGCGUCAGCUUGCACUUCGGCCAUCCCGUUCUGUCUUCACACGUGCUCGCCCUGGUCUUUGCGUUGCUUCCCACCACAGCUGUUCACAUAGUGUACCUGUAUAUUUUCGAUACCAUUUAGGGUGCCUUGUGUCUUUUCCGUGCAGUUCGAGUAGGUUUCUGUGCGCAUGUGACGGUUGGUAGUUUUGUCCCUCGUUCCCCUCUCACGUUCUUGCCUCCUUCACCUCUGUGAUACUGUUGUGUAUCCUUGUAUCACUUAUUACACUUUGUGUUGCGUGUCCAGCUUUCCUGUGCGCCUCUUGUGUGCGGUUUGUGUAGGUGACCGUUGGCUGUCGAUGCCCUUAAUGCCCACACCUCCAUGAGGCAGACACAGCCUGUUGCAGACGGAGGUUAAGAGGGAUACAUUGAGGUGCAGCUGUGGUCGUUUCGGCUUCGUAAUCCUGCCAGACUACACUUCAAAUUUUGCACUCAGCCAUCUGCAGAUGUGGUGCCCUGUGACUUUCGUGAGAGUGCCUGGACGAACAUUUGCCUGUUCUGACUACCUAGGGCUGUUUAUUAGUUGCCUUUGCCCCACUCUGCGAUUCCCUGCAUGAUAUCCUCGACGUCACCCACAGGGUGUUGCGUCGCUGGCGGGCCAGAGGUGUCAGUUCCAGAGGGAUACUGGUCUGAGACAGGGAUUGCUUGAUUGUGCAUGCUAUGAUAUGCAUUUGCUUGCUGUGCUGUGUAGCAUUGUUUGGUGGUGGGGGUGAUGGUAUGUUCCUUAAUACGCACGGCUCACUUGGACUUAGAAUAUUAGCAUGAUACCAUAUGGGCUGCAGACCAGACCUUCAGGCCCCACAGAUGUGGCUGCAGACACUCUGUGUGUAUGCCCUAUGGCCUUCGGGCUUUGGGUUUGCCGACACUGUAAUAAUAAUAAUAAUAAAAAUGCUGC